UACGUAGGGUGCGAGCGUUACUCGGAAUUACUGGGCGUAAAGGGUGCGCAGGCGGCCGGGCAAGUCGGGUGUGAAAGCCCCGAGCUUAACUUGGGAACUGCGCUCGAAACUACUUGGCUAGAGUGUGGCAGAGGGAGGUGGAAUUCCACGUGUAGCGGUGAAAUGCGUAGAGAUGUGGAGGAACACCGAUGGCGAAGGCAGCCUCCUGGGCCAACACUGACGCUCAUGCACGAAAGCGUGGGGAGCAAACAGG
rnacentral:rRNA from 1 species